CCUACGGGAGGCAGCAGUGAGGAAUAUUGGUCAAUGGACGAGAGUCUGAACCAGCCAAGUAGCGUGAAGGAUGACUGCCCUAUGGGUUGUAAACUUCUUUUAUAUGGGAAUAAAAUGUUCCACGUGUGGGAUUUUGUAUGUACCAUAUGAAUAAGGAUCGGCUAACUCCGUGCCAGCAGCCGCGGUAAUACGGAGGAUCCGUGCGUUAUCCGGAUUUAUUGGGUUUAAAGGGAGCGUAGGUGGUUUGUUAAGUCAGUUGUGAAAGUUUGCGGCUCAACCGUAAAAUUGCAGUUGAAACUGGCAGUCUUGAGUACAGUAGAGGUGGGCGGAAUUCGUGGUGUAGCGGUGAAAUGCUUAGAUAUCACGAAGAACUCCGAUUGCGAAGGCAGUUCACUGGACUGCAACUGACACUGAGGCUCGAAAGUGUGGGUAUCAAACAGGAUUAGAUACCCUUGUAGUC
rnacentral:rRNA from 1 species